CCUCAAAGAGGGGGACAACAGUUGGAAACGACUGCUAAUACCGCAUACGAUCUAAUCUCGGCAUCGAGGAUGGAUGAAAGGUGGCCUCUAUUUAUAAGCUAUCACUGAAGGAGGGGAUUGCGUCUGAUUAGCUAGUUGGAGGGGUAACGGCCCACCAAGGCGAUGAUCAGUAGCCGGUCUGAGAGGAUGAACGGCCACAUUGGAACUGAGACACGGUCCAA
rnacentral:rRNA from 1 species